rnacentral:misc_RNA from 1 species
UAUCUCAUCUCAAUAUCUGUUUACUCUUCUGUGUUUCUCAUUUCCCGAUCUACCCCUGAUCUCUCUGUAGGAGCGCGGACUGCAGCUGUUUCUGCGCUACGGCUCCCGUUGGGGCAUGGAGGCGCUGCGGGGCCUGGUGGACGUCACGCCCCUAGAGCCGGGCCGCCACUGCGGGCAGUUUCAGUGCCCCUGCCAGUACAUCAAAGAGCACUUGCAGUGCAAACCGCGAGCUGGCAGACGUUUGUAUCUAUGCUGAUGGCUGAUGGCUGGUGUCUGGUGGCUGAUGGCCGAUGCGGCUAUUAUAUGUAUGAUGGAAAGCGUCAACUAUCUUAUUUGUUGGUAGGUAUAAUCGUACGUAUAUUCUGGCACUUUGAUUUGAUAUCCCAUUCCGUUCACCAAUCCCCAUGCUCCAUGCCCCAUGCGCCAUGCCUGGUGCUUACCAAAU